rnacentral:lncRNA from 1 species
GCUCCUAGCCGGCCGCUCAGGGGCGGCUGGUUUCCCUGGCAACCGCUGCGCAGCGUCUUCCUGAGGGAGCCUUUUCUGUCAGCCCGCGGAUCCCACCGCUCGCUCCCCAGGGCCCGGUGGUUUUAGCGUGGGCUCAUUGACUGACAGACAACAAAAAUGGCGGAGCGGAGCCAGACGGCGCCAGAGGCAGGCAAUGAUACAGGAAAUGAGGAUGCCAUUGGAGGGAAUGUGAACAAGUACAUAGUGCUUCCAACUGGUUACUCUGGACAGCCCAAGAGAGGACAUCUUACCUUUGAUGCUUGCUUUGAAAGCG